AGUGUCCCUCUGAGUAAGAACUCUUCC
rnacentral:piRNA from 1 species